AGCAGCCGCGGUAAUUCCAGCUCCAAUAGCGUAUAUUAAAGUUGUUGCAGUUAAAAAGCUCGUAGUUGAAUUUCGGGAUCAAAGGAUCGGUCAUGCCUUGGUAUGUACUGGUUUUAUUGGUUCUCACCUUCUAAAGAACCAUAAUGUCAUUCAUUUGAUGUUAUGGGGAAUUAGGACUGUUACCUUGAAAAAUUAGAGUGUUUAAAGCAGGCUUACGCUUGAAUACAUUAGCAUGGAAUAAUGAAAUAGGACAUCAGAUUCUAUUUUGUUGGUUUCUAGGAUCGAUGUAAUGAUUAAUAGGGAUAGCUGGGGGCAUUAGUAUUCAAUUGUCAGAGGUGAAAUUCUUGGAUUUAUUGAAGACUAACUACUGCGAAAGCAUUUGCCAAGGAUGUUUUCAUUAAUCAAGAACGAAAGUUAGGGGAUCGAAGACGAUCAGAUACCGUCGUAGUCUUAACCAUAAACUAUGCCGACUAGGGAUCGGGAUGAUGUUAAUUUUAUAAUGACU
rnacentral:rRNA from 1 species